ACAUGUGCACACUUGUCAUCUUUACUUUUCCCCCAAUGUGCACAUAUUGUAGGCCUGGAACUCUUUUGAUUAUCUCGUAUAGAUUGAGGACUGCUGUGCUUCAGCCAGCUUUUCCUUGUGUUUUCAGGUCUAUGUUUACCUUCACAACCUCUGAAUAUGUUUAGAAUGUUGGAAUAUAAUAUAUAUAUACAACUUUCAGCAACGGAUCUCUUGGCUCUCGCAUCGAUGAAGAACGCAGCGAAAUGCGAUAAGUAAUGUGAAUUGCAGAAUUCAGUGAAUCAUCGAAUCUUUGAACGCAUCUUGCGCUCCUUGGUAUUCCGAGGAGCAUGCCUGUUUGAGUGUCAUUAAUCUCUCAACCACACCAAUCUUUUGGCUUGGUGUGGCUUUUGGAUGUGGGGGUUUUAUUUUGCUGGCUCCUAUCAAAUGAGGUCAGCUCCCCUGAAACUUAUUAGCGGUAUCUGAGCAGAGAGACCUACUACAGGUGUGAUAAAUUAU
rnacentral:rRNA from 1 species